AAACUUAACGUUGUGGAGACUAAGACAUAGUCUCCGUUUAGGCUCAAUCAUUGUCCACUAAAGACCGAGACCGAGGAUUCGUCUUGACUCGAUCGAUGCCGGCCCUAAGGCCAGGCAAGGUUGGUGACCUUGGAUAUCUUUUUUGGUGUAGGCUAAGGAUAAUUUGUAGAUAAAA